AUACAGAGGGUGCAAGCGUUAUUCGGAAUUACUGGGCGUGAAGCGCAUGUAGGCGGUUCGGUAAGUCUGAUGUGAAAGCCCCCGGCUCAAUCGGGGAAGUGCAUCGGAUACUGCCGGACUGGAGUACAGGAGAGGAGAACGGAAUUCCAGGUGUAGAGGUGAAAUUCGUAGAUAUCUGGAGGAACAACGGCGGCGAAGGCGGUUCUCUGGACUGUAACUGACGCUGAGAUGCGAAAGCGUGGGGAGC
rnacentral:rRNA from 1 species